AUGAACGCUGGCGGCGUGCCUAAUACAUGCAAGUCGAGCGAACAGACGAGGAGCUUGCUCCUCUGACGUUAGCGGCGGACGGGUGAGUAACACGUGGAUAACCUUCCUAUAAGACUGGGAUAACUUCGGGAAACCGGAGCUAAUACCGGAUAAUAUAUUGAACCGCAUGGUUCAAUAGUGAAAGACGGUUUUGCUGUCACUUAUAGAUGGAUCCGCGCCGCAUUAGCUAGUUGGUAAGGUAACGGCUUACCAAGGCAACGAUGCGUAGCCGACCUGAGAGGGUGGUCGGCCACACUGGAACUGAGACACGGUCCAGACUCCUACGGGAGGCAGCAGUAGGGAAUCUUCCGCAAUGGGCGAAAGCCUGACGGAGCAACGCCGCGUGAGUGAUGAAGGUCUUCGGAUCGUAAAACUCUGUUAUUAGGGAAGAACAAAUGUGUAAGUAACUAUGCACGUCUUGACGGUACCUAAUCAGAAAGCCACGGCUAACUACGUG
rnacentral:rRNA from 1 species